rnacentral:rRNA from 1 species
UUAACACAUGCAAGUCGAACGGAAAGGCCCUUUCGGGGGUACUCGAGUGGCGAACGGGUGAGUAACACGUGGGUGAUCUGCCCUGCACUUCGGGAUAAGCUUGGGAAACUGGGUCUAAUACCGGAUAGGACUACGGCCUGCAUGGGUUGUGGUGGAAAGCUUUUGCGGUGUGGGAUGGGCCCGCGGCCUAUCAGCUUGUUGGUGGGGUGAUGGCCUACCAAGGCGACGACGGGUAGCCGGCCUGAGAGGGUGUCCGGCCACACUGGGACUGAGAUACGGCCCAGACUCCUACGGGAGGCAGCAGUGGGGAAUAUUGCACAAUGGGCGCAAGCCUGAUGCAGCGACGCCGCGUGGGGGAUGACGGCCUUCGGGUUGUAAACCUCUUUCACCAUCGGCGAAGCCGGGGGCUUUUGUUUCCGGUGACGGUAGGUGGAGAAGAAGCACCGGCCAACUACGUGCCAGCAGCCGCGGUAAU